rnacentral:rRNA from 1 species
GGGACGAACGCUGGCGGCGUGCUUAACACAUGCAAGUCAAGGGGGCCCAGCAAUGGGCAACCGGCGAACGGGUGCGUAACACGUGAGCAACCUACCGAAAUGUGGGGGAUAGCCGGCCUAACGGCCGAGUAAUACCGCAUACGCUCUCGAUGAGGCAUUUCAUUGAGAGGAAACCUACGGGACAUUUCGAGGGGCUCGCGGCCUAUCAGCUAGUUGGCGAGGUAACGGCUCACCAAGGCAACGACGGUA